rnacentral:piRNA from 1 species
UNCCCUACGGAAACAAGAGAACUUUCUGC